UACGUAGGGGGGCUAGCGUUGUCCGGAAUCAUUGGGCGUAAAGCGCGUGUAGGCGGCCCGGUAAGUCCGCUGUGAAAGUCGGGGGGCUCAACCCUCGGAAGCCGGUGGAUACUGUCGGGCUGGAGUACGGAAGAGGCGAGUGGAAUUCCUGGUGUAGCGGUGAAAAUGCGCAGAUAUCAGGAGGAACACCGGUGGCGAAGGCGGCACUCUGGACCGACACUGACGCUGAGGCGCGAAAGCGUGGGGAGCAAACAGGAUUAGAACU
rnacentral:rRNA from 1 species